rnacentral:rRNA from 1 species
GAUGAACGCUGGCGGCGUGCCUAAUACAUGCAAGUCGAGCGAAAAGAUCCGGAUCUUGCUCCUUUGUCGUUAGCCGCGCACGUGUGAAAAACACGUGUAUAAUCUACUUAUCAUUCUGAUAUCACUUCGGGAAACCGGCGCAAAUACCGUAUAAUAUAUUGCAGCGCAGUGUUCAUUGGUGAAAGACGGCUUUUGUGUCUCUACUCGCUGCUUCCGCGCCGCAGUAGCUAGUUGGUAAGGUAACAGCUUACCAAGGCGACGAUGCGUAGCCGAGCUGAGGGGGUGAUAGGCCACACUGGAAGUGAGACAGGGUCCAGACGCCUACGGGAGGGAGCAGUAGGCAAUGGGACGCAAUGGGGGAAAGCCUGGCGGAGCAACGCCGCGUGAGUGAUGGAGGUCUUCGGAGCGUAAAGCUCUGUUAUUGGGGAAGAACAGAUGUGUAAGGUACUAUGGAGGUCUUGACGGUACCUAAUCAAAAAGCACCGGCUAACUACGUG